ACAUAAAGAGCAAGAAACUGCUUUGCGGUUUCGGCCCGCUUGUUAAGGGUGUAAAUCCCUUUUUAUGUU
rnacentral:tRNA from 1 species